AUGAAGAACAUGGCCAGUGGGUAAAGGAUCGUCAAACCAUUAGACAAGAUAAUUAUGUUUCAUUUUGUACAUUUUAAAUCCUUUACCAGACACGCUCACACACAAGAUAGAGACGGCUGGGGAGGAAAAGCGUUUACUUGUCCUUCCCUCUAUGAGCUUCCACAAGGCUUUAUAUCGGGUGAAUACUCCUCCAAGAGAACAGCAGCAAUGGAUCACGAGGCAAAGAGCAUUGCAGUGAGUACAAUGAUGGAGAGCACGAGAGGGGCGGAGUCAGUGACAAGUUGCUAUGACAACAUAUGAUGGAGGAGUUACAAGGUGACACUGUGGAGUUUGUGUACAACCCAUUGGACGUCUUACACUGCAGAUAAAGGAAUACAAUUAAGAAAUAAUUCGUGAGGGUCAGUUGUUCACUCUGUUGGAUGCUGAUGACGAUCCAGCCAUUGGACGUCAGAUAAAAAUACAGUCGACCUAAGGAACAAUUCUUGAGGGUCAGUUGUUCACUCUGUUGGAUGCUGAUGAUGAUCGACCCAUUGGACGUCAAUACAAUCGACCUAAGGAACAGACUGAACACCGGCCCCCGGCAUGUAUCAUGAGGGACGCUGUACAGAGAUGUUAGGGCAAGUUCCUUUAAUUAGAUCGAGAUAUUGUAAUUAUUUCCUUCUUCCAGGUUGUCGGUGGCUAAACGUGCUUAUAGUUGCCAUGGAGAUGGAGAUGGUAAUUGACUGAAGUCAUGUACCUACCUCUUGAUAGAAGGAAACAAGGAUUUGUCAAUAAUUAUAGUACUGUGAUAAAUAAAUGUUUUGUCAACUUCGAUUCUCUAAGAUCAUAAUUAUUCAUAACUAUAAUUAUACUAUUGUUCUUGUUCUUACAAAACUUUAAAUUAUGUUACGUUGUUUCAUAUUAAUUAUGUAUCGAGUACAGCA